AUUGAACGCUGGCGGCAUGCUUUACACAUGCAAGUCGAACGGCAGCGCGGGCUUCGGCCUGGCGGCGAGUGGCGAACGGGUGAGUAAUGCAUCGGAACGUGCCCAGUAGUGGGGGAUAGCCCGGCGAAAGCCGGAUUAAUACCGCAUACGACCUGAGGGUGAAAGCGGGGGACCGAAAGGCCUCGCGCUAUUGUAGCGGCCGAUGUCGGAUUAGCUAGUUGGUGGGGUAAAGGCUUACCAAGGCGACGAUCCGUAGCUGGUCUGAGAGGACGACCAGCCACACUGGGACUGAGACACGGCCCAGACUCCUACGGGAGGCAGCAGUGGGGAAUUUUGGACAAUGGGGGCAACCCUGAUCCAGCCAUGCCGCGUGCGGGAAGAAGGCCUUCGGGUUGUAAACCGCUUUUGUUCGGGAAGAAAUCCUCUGGGCUAAUACCCCGGGGGGAUGACGGUACCGGAAGAAUAAGCACCGGCUAACUACGUG
rnacentral:rRNA from 1 species